rnacentral:lncRNA from 1 species
CUUGGGUGUAGUUGUGCGGAUACACAGGAUAUAAGUAGUGUAUGUAGAUUGUUAAUUAAAGGAUGAUGUAAAACGCCCUCGCAUUUAAUCUGUUUCAAGACUUUAGGUGCAUCUUGUGCGUGCCAUUAUGAGGGGGCUUGGAAUGCGCCCCUUUCGGGGCCAAGGGGCUCUCUGCGCGUCCCUGUGUCGGAAAUGCUGGCAGCCAGCAGUGAUGGCGAAGAGACUGCUCUUGUCUGAACCUGUGCAAAUGGCGAGUAUAAGUGCAGCGAUAGUGGGAGCACCGUUAUGUGAAGCAGGGUUGCGCAGCUGCUUGAGAUGCCCAGGUCUGUCGCAAUUGCUAACUUGCGUAUGUAGUGUAUCCGUCGCGACGACCUGCCAUCGCCGAUUUCUUGCCAAACAGGUCGCUGCACAUGCAAUUGCGACACUUCCCGUAACCGCGCCGUGUGCGGUCGUGUAUGGUCUCUUCAUGCUGCGACGUUCUGUUUUCCCUGGUUCC